AUGCAGAUUGGGUUCUCUGGAAGAAGUACACAGUCUGUAUUUCAGCGACACGUUUCUCAGGAACUCAGCGACUUUGUUUCCAGAGACGCUUCGCUGAACGUGUCCGUUGGAGAUAUUUUAUUCUCACAUGUUUGUCUUUUGGAGGAUCUGAGCGUGGUUGGUAUUCAGAAAAGCUGCAUGGCUUUACUGUCUCUUUUACUUCCUGGUGUCUUCAACCUGAGAAAUGUUCAGAUUAAAGUGAUGAAUGCUGCUGUCGCCACAUCGCAGGUGUUAAACCUACAUGUUUAUUUGCAGGGAACGUUUUAUCGGAUAUUCCCGCCUGAUCUCAUCACCGAUCGUCAUGUAGAGAAACCUCCUGCGUCACCAUGGCGACGGCCGCCUGUAGCGCGGCGGUUUGCGUGUGGUGAACGAUGUGAAACGCUUAACGCGGUAACGAGUGGCUUGUGUUGUGAAACUCUUCUCGGUUUGAUUUAA
ensembl:lncRNA